CAAACGCUUCCCAAGAGGAAAUAUAACACGCUAUCGUCGCCGUCAAUCGCCGAUGCCACUGGAUAGAAAACUAAAUAAAUAAUCAGAACCUAUACAAGAAAAAAUAAUGAAGAGAGGAGGAAGGAAGCCGAGACGGCGGCGUGGAAGAAGCCUAGGCCGGUGGCGUCUGCUGGUUCCAUUCUCUUCCGUAUCAAUAUCGGGAUCACGCGUAGUUGCUGAGGACGUGACCGGCGCGACGCCGGAGUUCUUGACAUCAUCCAAGCCGGCCGAUAGACGGUCUCCCCAAACUCCGGUGCCGUGCACAAGCUUCUCUAUAUUUUAUAUCGAGAGAAAAUAAAUUACAAGUGCGACUCGGAAAAAAGGGACGAAGAAGUCGGACGCGUUCAGGCGCAGCGCACUACUUCUCCCCGAGAGAAACACCGGCGAGCAAUAAUAAAUGGCGUCAUAGCCACGGACCUUCCUCCCCCAAGCGGAUCACACCACCAACCCCCCGCCGCCUUCCUCCUCCUCGCCGACCGACCCCGCCCGCCCGCGACCGCACGCGUCAACCCGCCCCCCACCGCCGGUGCUCCUGCGACCGCCGCGGGUGAGGCGGAGAUCCAUCCGUCCAUCUGAGCUCCUACUGACUCGACGCCGGUAACGAACCCCUUCUUCCCUGCUCUGGCUGUUGAGCCGCCGAAUCCGAACCAACCCGUGUCUCCCUCCAGCUCCGAGGAUUUGUUUCGGGGGCUCAGGUUCAGCGCAAGUGGCUGGACCCCCCAUGCCACACGUGAACGCCAAGGUGUCGGCGGUGGCGGCGACGGGGAUGUCCGCCGUGCCUGCGGCCGCGGCGCCGCCGUCGCCGAGGAGGUGGGAGGGGGUGGACCCGGCGCUGGAGAGGAUGGUGCUGCGCGCGUGCCUGGACCAGGCCCCCGAGCGCCGCCGCGUGCGCGAGGCCUUCAAGGACGUGCAGCUCAGCAUUGACCACUGCCUCUUCAAGGCACAAUACAGUGACAUUGGAACAAAAGAGUCAUAUGAGCGGAACUCCAGAGGUGUGGAGAUAUUCUCAAAAUGUUGGUUUCCGGAGAACCAUCGUAUGAAAGCAAUUGUUUGUCUCUGCCAUGGUUAUGGAGACACCUGUACCUUUUUCCUUGAUGGGAUUGCUAGGAAGAUUGCUUCGGCUGGAUAUGGAGUAUUUGCAUUGGACUACCCUGGUUUUGGUCUUUCUGAAGGACUUCAUGGAUAUAUUCCAAGUUUUGAUACUCUUGUUGACGAUGUUGCUGAACAUUUUGCUAAGAUCAAAGGGAAUCCUGAAUACAGAGAUCUCCCAAGCUUUCUGUUUGGCCAAUCUAUGGGUGGUGCAGUUGCAUUGAAGAUUCACUUUAAGCAACCGAAAGACUGGAAUGGUGCAAUUCUAGUUGCACCUAUGUGCAAGAUUUCAGAUGACGUGGUACCAGCUUGGCCUGUUCAGCAAGUUCUGAUUUUCAUGGCUAAACUUCUUCCAAAAGAGAAGCUUGUUCCACAGAAAGACUUGGCAGAAUUGGCAUUCAGAGAGAAAGAAAAACAAGAGCAGUGUUCUUACAAUGUGAUUGCCUACAAGGAUAAACCACGUCUCCGAACAGCUCUGGAGAUGCUGAGGACCACACAAGAGAUAGAAAGUCGCCUACAAGAAGUUUCCCUGCCCAUAAUCAUUCUGCAUGGUGAGGCUGAUUUGGUCACCGACCCAGGCGUGAGCAAAGAUCUGUAUGAAAAAGCGAAGACAUCGGACAAGACGCUGCGACUUUACAAAGACGGCUACCAUGCCAUCUUGGAAGGUGAACCGGACGAGGGGAUCUUCAAAGUUCUCGACGAUAUAAUCUCCUGGCUGGAUCAGCAUUCUGCAAAGGAGAUACCGUCGUCGUGAGCUGCACAGUUUUUUAUCCUUUAAUCAUUUGUCGAGCAUCACAGGUCACGGUUGGGAAUUCUAUUUUGGGUUUUACACUUGAUACACGCACUGAUUUCCUGCUGAUUGUGAAUAUGUAUCUAGCAUUCAUCAUGUUGGUGUGAUGUGCAAAUGGUUGGUCGUUUUUUGGCCCCAAAAUCGGGCUAUUUGAUGUGGCCCGCAAAAUGAAUAGGGUUUUGUUCCCUUUGGGGUCAGGAUUUGAUUUCGAAUAACGUAACCAACAAGUUUGUCUGUCCCAGAACUGGGCGUAGGAAUUCAAUCUGUGACUCCAUAGAUUGUAAGAAUAGACUACAAAUCUCCUUAGCAUGACCUGUGAGCAUCCCCAAAAGGAAGAAGAAAAAACAUGUAUGUAAGCUGCGCGGCCUUCGAUAGCGAAUAGUGUUUCGUGUUUGUAAUAUGUCCGUAUUGAUUUAUAUUAGUCGAGUCGUACCUUGCACCUGCACUCACACAACAAUCACUAGUGCUUAUGCAGAGACAAGACGUAAGCUCACUAGUGAUGUGUGUGGACUGCAAAGCGUGCACUCCGCUAUAUACCUAUAACUUGCUAACCUGAUCAACCCAAUCUAUCAACACGAGGAUAACUAGAGUUACCGCGCCGCGUGCCUUCUUUAUCGUCAAUCAAUAGCAGUGCCACCAGCCCCGCGCACUGAUUUCUAACCUAACUUGCUAGUACUAGCCUACCACACCAGAGACCAGACAGUCAAAGCAUAUGAUGAGGCUACCAUCAACAUCCACAGGGUCAGUCAUGUGCAGUCACAGGUCAGGAGCCUCCAAAGCCUUUUGGUCCGCCUGCCGAUUUUAUCCAGCUUCUUCAUGACAAUGGCGAGGAGCUGGUGGUGGUAUGGAACACCGGCAAGCUGCCCUCCAUGGCUCUGUCUAGUUUCACCACCACCUGAAUGCACACCAGGUUCUCCCCUCUGAAGCGCAGGCCCGUUGCUUCCGCCGGUUUUGUGCAGGUAGAAAUUUCUGCCGCCCACUUCGCCGAUCUUGUCGUUUUUGUUUAAACCUGUUAAAGAAAACACCCAAGAUGUUACUUCGCCAGACCAAAGGUAAAUUUGGAAAUGUUGACUUCAUAAUUUAUAGUCUCUUUGGGCUGAGCAACUAAAUUUUGGGUGAAGAAGCUCUCUGAAUGAUGUUCAUAGGCUUUUCAGAGUAAUAACUUUACAAGUCCUUGCAUAUAUGGUCUAGAAAAAGAAGUCGGUACAUAUAACUAGUACCAAAUAAGUUGUCUACAUCCUUAUCCAUGACGACUGGCCUAUAUUACAUUGCUGAAUCCUUAAAGAAGGAAGUGGUGGGAGAGAUAAAUUUCAAGCAAGACAAAAAUGAGUAAACCAAAUAGCAAGAUGCCACAUGAAAGAAGACGGUUUGUCAGAGACUUCCUGCAUAACUAACAAAAUUACUAAACAUCAUUAGUAGUUCUUAACAUAUUCUGAAUUACGGAUGAUUCAAACAUCCCAGUACACAUGAAUGGUGCAGAACUUGCUGUGACAGUGACAGCACUUGAAAAUGGCUUGUUUCACAAACAACAGAAUCAAACAACCACAUGUUUAGCACCAGAAACUGUAACACACCAGUACAGUUUAAUCCCCAUUUGAUCGGCAAAUUGGCAUGGCAUAUCCAUUAAACCAAGUGAAAAGGAUGAAUGGCUCGCUUACUCUGGAGGGAGAAGUGAGAGUGAUGGAGCUGGAAGGACUCGGCGGAGGCGGGGUCCAGCCGGGGGCUCCUCCCCUCCCGGUGGUACCGCUCCACCACCGCGGCGAUGGCGUCCCGGAUGCUGGAGCCGAGGCUGACCAUCGCCCUCACCGGCCCCGCGCUCCCCUCCACCGUCACGUUCACCACCACCUUCGCCUCCCACAGAAGAAAAAAAACCCAUCCAGUAAACCCCACGAACUAAAAUGAACGAAUGCGCGCGCGCUCGUCAGUUCACGGACCGUGCCGUACCUCCCAGGUCGUGCGACGAUCGGGCGGCAGCAGCAGGGAGGAGGAGGCGAAGGGAGAGUCCGGCGCGAGGACGUCGUAGCAGGUGUGCGGUCGGUCGAGCGGCGGCGGCGGCGGGGACGGCGGGUGGGGCGGCGCGGGGUGGACGCGGGCGUCGUCGCGCCACCAGAGCGCCGGCUCGGAGGCGGAGCGCGUGAGUGCCCUCUUCGCCUCGGCCCGCUUCCGCGGCCGCGGACCCUGCGCCAGCUGCACCGGCAGCCGGAGCCUCCGUCCGGCGCCGCCGCCGCUGGUCCCGCCCCGGCGCGUCGGCGAGGAGGAGGGCCCCGGCCGGGCGCCGGCGAUGCGCGGGCGGCUCCUCUUCCUCCCCUGCUGCAUCUUCUCUGGCUAGAGACCCUGGUCGCCGAGACGAUCGUGCGCGCGCGCGCGUGUGUGGAGUGGAGUGCAGUUUGGAGUUUGGAGAUUGUUGUGUUGCGUUGGUCGGUGGUGUCGUCGGGUGGCCGC
rnacentral:rRNA from 1 species